rnacentral:rRNA from 1 species
GUUUUGAUUUUAUUUGCGCAGCAUAGGUGGGAGACGUUGAGAUUAUUCUUACGGGAGUAGUGGAGUCAUUAGUGAGAUACCACUCUGAUAAAAUUGAACCUCUAACUUUAUACCGUUAGCCGGUUAAAAGACAGUUUCAGGUGGGCAGUUUGACUGGGGCGGUCGCCUCCUAAAAGGUAACGGAGGCGCACAAAGGUUUCCUCAGAUCGGUCAGAAAUCGAUCUUAGAGUGUAAAGGCAAAAGGAAGCUUGACUGUGAGACAAACAAGUUGAGCAGAGACGAAAGUCGGUCUUAGUGAUCUGACGCUGCUGUGUGGAAAGGGCGUCACUCAACGGAUAAAAGUUACUCUAGGGAUAAC